rnacentral:lncRNA from 1 species
AGAUAGAGUCAUGAAAAGCCAUAAAGGAAGAGACAGAGUUAGAAUACUAACGCGUCCAAGGCUAGCACAUUAAAAACUUGUCGACUCAGGGAGGGGCUUCCUGCUAGAGAACAGGGGAAAACGAGGCUUCGUGUCUAUAGCUGUGGAUAACUGACAUCUAGAGGUUCCACAGAAAAUCAGGAGGAUUGGUAUUACUAAUUAUAAGUGUAUAUUCUCAACAAAUCUUCCAUAU